rnacentral:rRNA from 1 species
CCUACGGGUGGCAGCAGUGAGGAAUAUUGGUCAAUGGACGAGAGUCUGAACCAGCCAAGUAGCGUGAAGGAUGACUGCCCUAUGGGUUGUAAACUUCUUUUAUAUGGGAAUAAAAUGUUCCACGUGUGGGAUUUUGUAUGUACCAUAUGAAUAAGGAUCGGCUAACUCCGUGCCAGCAGCCGCGGUAAUACGGAGGAUCCGAGCGUUAUCCGGAUUUAUUGGGUUUAAAGGGAGCGUAGGUGGAUUGUUAAGUCAGUUGUGAAAGUUUGCGGCUCAACCGUAAAAUUGCAGUUGGAACUGGCAGUCUUGAGUACAGUAGAGGUGGGCGGAAUUCGUGGUGUAGCGGUGAAAUGCUUAGAUAUCACGAAGAACUCCGAUUGCGAAGGCAGUUCACUGGACUGCAACUGACACUGAGGCUCGAAAGUGUGGGUAUCAAACAGGAUUAGAUACCCUAGUAGUC